rnacentral:rRNA from 1 species
AGUGAACGCUGGCGGUAGGCCUAACACAUGCAAGUCGAACGGCAGCACAGUAAGAGCUUGCUCUUACGGGUGGCGAGUGGCGGACGGGUGAGGAAUACAUCGGAAUCUACUUUUUCGUGGGGGAUAACGUAGGGAAACUUACGCUAAUACCGCAUACGACCUACGGGUGAAAGCAGGGGAUCUUCGGACCUUGCGCGAUUGAAUGAGCCGAUGUCGGAUUAGCUAGUUGGCGGGGUAAAGGCCCACCAAGGCGACGAUCCGUAGCUGGUCUGAGAGGAUGAUCAGCCACACUGGAACUGAGACACGGUCCAGACUCCUACGGGAGGCAGCAGUGGGGAAUAUUGGACAAUGGGCGAAAGCCUGAUCCAGCAAUACCGCGUGAGUGAAGAAGGCCUUCGGGUUGUAAAGCCCUUUUGUUGGGAAAGAAAAGCAGCAGGUUAAUACCCCGCUGUUCUGACGGUACCCAAAGAAUAAGCACCGGCUAACUUCGUG